CCUAGGGGUUGUAGGCUUUGCCUGCUAUCUCUUACCCAUGUCUUUUGAGUACCUUCGUUUCCUCGGCGGGUCCGCCCGCCGAUUGGACAAUUUAAACCAUUUGCAGUUGCAAUCAGCGUCUGAAAAAACUUAUAGUUA
rnacentral:misc_RNA from 1 species